AACUUUCAACAACGGAUCUCUUGGUUCUGGCAUCGAUGAAGAACGCAGCGAAAUGCGAUAAGUAAUGUGAAUUGCAGAAUUCAGUGAAUCAUCGAAUCUUUGAACGCACAUUGCGCCCUUCGGCAUUCCGGGGGGCAUGCCUGUUCGAGCGUCAUUA
rnacentral:rRNA from 1 species